rnacentral:rRNA from 1 species
CAGCCGUAAACUAUGCGCGUUAGGUGUACUGGUGACCACGAGUCACCGGGGUGCCGAAGGGAAACCGUGAAACGUGCCGCCUGGGAAGUACGGUCGCAAGGCUGAAACUUAAAGAAAUUGGCGGGGGAGCACCACAACGGGUGGAGCCUGCGGUUUAAUUGGACUCAACGCCGGAAAUCUCACCGGAUAGGACAGACAUAUGAUAGUCGGGCUGAAGACUCUACUUGAUGAUCUGAGAGGAGGUGCAUGGCGUCAGUGACU